GUACCCAUCCACCUGACGGCUUUCUCUUUCCCUCGAAAACCAAAACCAAAACCAAAUCGCGGGAAAGCGGGCGCGGCGGAGAUCGCCGCCGGUCGCCGGAGAUGUCGUCGGUGGUCAACAAGCUCACUAACGCCGCCGAGAGGGAGUCGUCGGAGGCGGAAACCCUUAUCGCGGAGAUUCGCAAGGCGAUCGGCGAAAUGAAGUCCAUCGCCGUCGAUUACGAGAGGGAGAACAAGUCCGACAAGGUGAAGCAGCUUGAGGCGGCGGCGCUGGAACUGGUUGCUUCGUGCGAAGAUUGCACGUGCUACGCCGACGCGAUCCGGAAGGUGCCUGGGGCGUACCAGCCAUCUAAUCAGAUGACGGAUUUCGAAAAGCUGAUCGAGGCUGAGGUUAACAAGGUCAAGGGGAACUCAUCAACAUCAGUAGAGAACCAUCUGCUCAUUCGGCAGUUCAGAGAGGCAGUUUGGAAUGUUCACCAUGCUGGCCAACCAAUGCCUGGUGAUGAACAGGAGGAUGUUCUUAUGACCAGUACCCAAACUAGCAUCUUAAAUGUCACGUGCCCAUUAACUGGGAAGCCUGUAAUUCAAUUGACAGAGCCAGUUCGGUGUGCGGAUUGUAGGCACAUAUAUGAAAAAGUUCCAAUUAUGCAUUACAUAAGAAACCAAAAACCUCCGAAGUGCCCUAUCGCAGGUUGCCCAAGAGUCUUACAAGUAGGAAGGGUUACCUGUGAUUCCCUCCUCCAGGUUGAAAUCGAUGAAUUACGCUCGUCAGGGCCUUCUGCUCCAGACGCUGAAAACAUAGAGGAUUUAACUGACGACGAGGAUGACAGCAAUGAAUGAAGCUCUAGAAAAUGACUGCCCUUUUGGAUAAUUAUUGUAGCUAGGGACAAAUUUAAACUUUUGCUGUUGUAUUUGGUAUGUUUUAUGGGGAAUGUGGUUGCUACGUCAGUCUGAUCAUCUGGCCCUGCUUAGCAUCUGUUGAUUCUGUUCCCCUCUAACCAUUAUUUGCACUACUUGUAGCCAAUGAAACAUGGGCAGCUCCCACGGCAAGAUGUGAGUAAAGUGCAGGCUUAUGUAUGAUUUAUGGACCCUUGGUACACAAAUAAUCACAACAGCCAGAGAACUAGCUAAUAGAACAAACUGGGCCGUGGUUUGGGAAGACCGGCGUUUAUGUUGCAGAAAGAAUCAGAGGAAAAGAUGGAAUGAAACGUGGUCCAAAACCAAAGAGGACGCAGAGGCUUCCAGCCAGGGGAAGUGCAUGCACAGUACAGAAGCCUAAUGAAGAUGGAAUGCAUGCAUGGCACAGCUGCGUAGAGCAUCUCAGUCAUCAAAACAGGUUAAAAAAAAACUUGUUCUCAAAGUCCAUGUUUUUUUUCUGCUCUA